UACGGAGGGGGCUAGCGUUGUUCGGAAUUACUGGGCGUAAAGCGCACGUAGGCGGCUUUGUAAGUUAGAGGUGAAAGCCCGGGGCUCAACUCCGGAAUUGCCUUUAAGACUGCAUCGCUCGAAUUGUGGAGAGGUAAGUGGAAUUCCGAGUGUAAAGGUGAAAUUCGUAGAUAUUCGGAAGAACACCAGUGGCGAAGGCGACUUACUGGACACAUAUUGACGCUGAGGUGCGAAAGCGUGGGGAGCAAACAGG
rnacentral:rRNA from 1 species